rnacentral:rRNA from 1 species
UUCUGGUUGAUCCUGCCGGACCCGACUGCUAUCAGAGUGAGAUUAAGCCAUGCGAGUCAACGUAGCAAUACGUGGCACACGGCUCAGUAACACGUAGUCAACAUAACCAAAGGACGUGGAUAAACUCGGGAAACUGAGGCUAAACCGCGAUAGAUCAAGAUACCUGGAAUGGUUUUUGAUCAAAAUCUAUAUGGCCUUUGGAUUGGACUGCGUCCGAUCAGGCUGUUGGUGAGGUAAUGGCCCACCAAACCUGUAACCGGUACGGGCUCUGAGAGGAGGAGCCCGGAGAUGGGUACUGAGAAAAGGACCCAGGCCCUAUGGGGCGCAGCAGGCGCGAAACCUCUGCAAUAGGCGAAAGCCUGACAGGGUUACUCUGAGUGACUUUCGCUAAGAAAGUCUUUUGACACCUCUAAAAAUGGUGUAGAAUAAGGGGUGGGCAAGUCUGGUGUCAGCCGCCGCGGUAAUACCAGCACCCCGAGUGGUCGGGACGAUUAUUGGGCCUAAAGCAUCCGUAGCCGGUUUUACAAGUCCUCCGUUAAAUCCAGCUGCUUAACAGAUGGGCUGCGGAGGAUACUAUAAGACUAGGAGGCAGGAGAGGCAAGCGGUACUCAGUGGGUAGGGGUAAAAUCCGUUGAUCCAUUGAAGACCACCAGUGGCGAAGGCGGCUUGCCAGAAUGCGCUCGACGGUGAGGGAUGAAAGCUGGGGGAGCAAACCGGAUUAGAUACCCGGGUAGUCCCAGCUGUAAACGAUGCAGACUCGGUGAUGGACUAGCUUUAUGCUAGUCCAGUGCCGCAGGGAAGCCGUUAAGUCUGCCGCCUGGGUAGUACGGUCGCAAGACUGAAACUUAAAGGAAUUGGCGGG